UGCGCCCGGCUUGCAAAUAUUAAUUUUCCACUCUUCUUCUUGUUGGCAAAGGUUAUCGAAGAAAAUUGUACUGGGAUCACUUUUUCAAAGGUUCUGUAAAACAACUAUUAAUAAUAGCAGUGUUGCCAAAGAAAAAGCAGAAAAGCAAGCAUCUAUUGCAAGAUCAUUCUGUAAAGGCAUUAAUUAAAAUACACACAUUAUUGCUGUGCCACUGUGGUGUUGAUGAUUUGUACCUUCUGUAGAAGUUAUUUGGGGGGGAGUGUCUCUGUAAAUAACAGGUUUUUGUUCUGAGAUGCGGUGCUCUCGGCUGCAUUACAAAUCCCUGAAACUCUCUCUCUCUAGCAAAAUCUGAACUAAUGUGUUGGCAAUACCUUUGAAGUCCUACUUAAUAAAUCUCCGAUUUGUCUCAUUCUUCAUAUUGCCCACCCCUUUGGCUUUCAAAGAGCAGGAGGCAGGGUCUCCUUGGAGGCUGCCAUCGGUUCUGCUCUGUGGCUCUGGCAAGAGGGAUUACUAUAGGGGCAAGGCGACGAACCAGCUCCUUCUCCCACAAAGCAUUUCCAUUUUGACAUGCCAAGUUCCUAAUGUUCCUGUGCAAGAAUGCCCCAAGGUCACUUGUAUGCUGUGGCUUCAGGGUGACAGCAAACAUGCCACCAAGUUACUGGGGUUGCCAAUAUAAUGACCCAGGACGUUCCUUUUUCGUUUUUGUCUAAAAGGCAAAAUGCAACUUUCUGCGAGGAUUUCUGUGUCUCAUUAACUAAGCAAAUGAGGUCGGGCAUUGUCAACACCGGCUUUGUUUUGCAAAUGAGACGGGGUGCUUGCGUGUUGAAAUUAGAACAGCUAAAGGAAUGUCAGAGUAGCCAAACUUUUAAUUCCUUCCUCUCCCCACCCCCUUUAAGUCUGCUAUGUCCAAUUUUUUCCAUUGUUCCUUCCGUCCGCCAGUCCAAAGUGUCGUUAUUUAUUACAUGCCAAUUGGUCUGUCUCCAAAGACCCAUGUUGCAAGGCUGGAACCAUGUUCUCUCACACACCUGUUAAAAAUAGCUCUUUGGAGUUCCCUUGGCUACUAAAUCUUAACAGUCAGGUCAGAUUAAUGGUCCAGAGGAAUGUUGACGCCAUUUCUACAUCUCUUCUAACUGGUACAAAUACACAACAUCUCAGUUGCUUGCCCUUGUUUGCAGGCUGGCCGUGUUGUCGUACUAUUGCUUCCUCUUUUCACAACAGCCAAUGAAAAAGAAGGGACACCCUCGCUGAGUUUCAGGUUUGCUAAGCAAGAGAACCGAACCAAACCUGGAAAGGAAAGUGAGGCUAGAUACUGGGUUCCUGACAGCUGGACCUCUAUGUUCAACUACAUAUCAGAGCCAGGCCCUUUUGGAGUCUGUUCCCAGAUUUAAUUGGUCUGCUCAGUGCCUGAUGGGUGCUGUCCCCAUUGUGGUAUCAUGGUCUGAUUAGGACGUGGAAGAUCAGGGUUCGAGUCCCCAUGCAAACAUGGAGCUCACUGGGCCAAUCACAGUCUCUGAGUGUUAUGUACUGAAGUUCUCACCCUGGGCCAGCAGGGGGAUACUGUAGAUAGUUAUGCAAAUGAAGGAUUGAAAGUGAUGUUCAGUGAUUGGAUGGAUACUGUAGAUAGUUAUGCAAAUGAAGGAUUGAAAGUGACGUUCAGUGAUUGGAUAGUUUUAGAAAGUUGUUACAGUAAUGAGGUUCUGGAGCUCUAUAUAAGCAGGCUGACUGAGCCCUUCAGUUCAGUUCUGUUCCAGCUUACAAAUAAAGAGCUGCUUUGGAGAAAUCGCUGUGUCGUCUGAUAUGUUCACCCACAACUUAACGCUGAGCCUAACCUACCCCCAGCGUGAAGAAUUGUAUACACCACCUUGAGCUCUUUGGAGGAAAGGUGGGGUAUGAAUAUUAAGAAAUGAAACUUCCCUAACACUUUCUGCUUAAGUGAUCUAGUUUGAAGAGCGGGAGAAGGCUCUCCCUCUUAGGCCCUGGGUAGGACUUGUUCCAUCUGGAAACAAAUCGGGCACAAGGUUCUUUAGCUGAUUGCCCAGAGUUCCACAAAAUAUUUUUUGGGGUAUGUCAGCCCAUUACUACACCAUAUCAGCAAGCUUGCAAGGAGUCCAACAUACUAUGUAGGUCAACUUUUUGCCCAAGAAGAGGCUUACCUGUACAGAAAGCACCCCUGGCAGCUGUUUUCACUAGUACUAGUAAGAGUGUUCUGAAUUUGCUAAAUGUUUUGGUCCUCCCACCCACCCAUUUUUUCCAGACCCUUGAUCAUCUUGGUUGUCCUCCUCUACAUACAUUCCAGCUUGUCAAUAGCCGCCUUAAAUUGUGGCACCCAGAACUGGACACAGUACUCUGGACGUGGUCUAAGGCAGAAUACAGCAGAACUAUUAUUUCCCUUGAUCUGGACACUAUGCAGCCUAGUAGAGCACAGAGGUCAAACUAAAUCUGGAUCUGGGUGUGAAUUUGGAAAGACCAGAUGGGCACAUCUGGAAUUUAGAGAAAGAGACAUGGGUACCAGUCACAAAAUGGCUACAUGGAGCUGUGUAAGGGUAGGGCAAACAAACCUACCCCAAGCAGGAACUGAGCAGGAAGAAUAAAUGGUACAAAUGCAUUGUGGAUUUUUGAGGGGAUAUUGACUGAGAACUUAGAAUAAUACAAUUGUAGAGUUGGAAGGGACCACGAGGGUCAUCUAGUCCAACCCCCUGCAAUGCAGGAAUCUUAUGCCCAAGGUGGGGCUCGAACUCAUGGCUAAGAAUCUCAUGUUCUACCAACUGAGCUACCCCAGCAAGCUCUUGUGCAGGUUCUGUAGGAGAUCCUAGCUGCAUUAGUGAGCCCUGAUCUAGGUCAAGCUGAAAGUGGAGCGAGGCUUUCUGAACUGGGGCAGUUUAAAAAUCCGAACUCCCCCAAUUCUGAAUUUUAUCCCCUCGCUAUAAAUGCCCCAUUGAGACCCUUUCAAAAUAUGAUUGAGGAGCAUUGCACUUCCUCAUAGCACCUGCCUACAUCUUUUAAAAACAUAGCUUUGCAUCUGGAGAAUUGUCUGUCUAAUUGUUCCUUACUCGUCUUGCCCAAGGGCAGAUAAAAAGUUGAAGAGGAUUUUCUUUCUGUGCAACUGGUGUUAGCGCAAGGUUAGGAAAGGGCAGACAAGGUCACACUCAGAUCUCCUUCCAACAGGCCGGUUCAAGUUUAACUGUGGACAAGCCCCGGGAGCCAAUAAGGAAUCAAAUAACUGAAUCUUUUUUAUUUUAUUUUAUUUUAAAAGGUCAUAUCGCUGCUGCUGCUGCUUCUUUUACAGCCGUCUUUCAUAUGGAGUGCGAGGCAUUUAAAAUUCUCAUUGUACGUUCUCAUGAGAACACUUGUAAUGAAAAGGGGAGCUUGCAUAUUAUAAAUCCAUUCUCCCGGUAAUAAUUGUAACUAGAACAGUUACUGCUACAAACGUAAUUCGUUAAUUCAUCCAUAUGACAACUUGAGAGCUGAAAUACAAGUUAGGGCACUGCACAAGCUCACUUGGGCUCUAGAAGUUUAUCAUACAUAUCAGUGGUGCUACUGCCUGGAGGGUUUUUAGAGCUAAAACCAACUUAGCAGCGUUGGAAAGCUGAAAGCUUUGGGAACUGUCGAACACAGUAGUAUCAUAUGCACUAGCUGUGUAUGUGGCAGGGAAUGAGGAAUUGCAGACUGGAAUGGCUUGCAAAACAGAACCAAUCAUUGCUGCACUGUUGUAUGCAGAUGAACCCCAUGGAAAACAUCACUUAGAUGCAGCCUUACCCAAUUUAGUACUAGGGCUGGGUGAUAUACCAAUAAAUCACCCAAAACCGGUUUGAAGUCCAUAUUGUGAUAUCGGUUUGAUAGUUUUUGACCUGGCUAUAUAUUGUGAAUCAUGUUAGGGCUAAGCGAUAUAUUGUCCAAACCCAGUUUCAAGCCCAUGUCAUGAUAUUGGUGUCAGAAUUUUUGACCUGGCAAUAUAUUGUGAAUUAUGGGGUGUAUGUGUGUGCGUGCACACACGCACUAUGCAAACAUCACAAUGUGGGGGGAAAGCUGUGAAGCCAGCCAAUGUCUCUACAUAGUUCUAUCCUUAUUUCAGACAUUCUGGUUUGUUUUUGUUUUUUAAAUGAUAUUUAUUAAAGUUUCAAAGAAAAAAUUGCAUAUAU